CUUUGAUAACUCGUGCCCUCUUCUAAAGACUACCUUCUUACAUAGUCAGCCUCCUCUUCACGAGCUUGUGAGAAUGAGCCUUCCUAGCUCCAUAAGACACAAAACAUUUAGCUUCUGAACACACAGAACAUGGUGCUUGGCCAAUGGGGGAACCAGGAAUUGAAGUUCUCUGAAGAAGCCACACUGUUAUUGAAGGUUCUGCAGAUUGUUUGAGGAGAGAGUCAGCAUUGUAGAUUGAGCACCAAAAUUCUCAGGGGCCAUCUUAGGCCCAUCAACUAGUCAUUUACGUUAACUUUCGUAUGUGACUUAACAUUUUUGUUAACUAGUAGGGAAACUUCUUGGAAUGUGAUGCAAAUCUUAGUAGACCUCUAACCUCUGCCAACCCUAAAGCUAAGAAUACCAUAAAAAUCAUAUCUAAAACCCACUUACAACUUUCUUUUGUUCUCUGACUAUGAAAGUUCAUGAGACCUCUUCUGUGGAGGAACCAGUCAGUCAGGGUUAACUUGAAUUCAUAUUCCUGGGCUAUGGUCACCCUAUUGGUUAAGAAUAAAUUAUUUUCCAAUUUUCUUCAAACAGAGUUUUUAAUUUGUAUCACUAAUGUUAUUACCCAAUCCAGUGAAGUAACAGUUUCAUUAAAUACAGUUACUGGAAUGAAAUAGAAUUUAGCCUGACCAAAUUGUCAAUUUCUCCAUAAGUUUUACAUUAAUUCACAUUUCUUGUAAUAAAUUUGUUUAUUCUGCAGAA
rnacentral:lncRNA from 1 species